UACGAAGGGGGCUAGCGUUGCUCGGAAUCACUGGGCGUAAAGGGUGCGUAGGCGGAUUGCUAAGUCAGGGGUGAAAUCCUGGAGCUCAACUCCAGAACUGCCUUUGAUACUGAGAAGCUUGAGUCCGGGAGAGGUGAGUGGAACUGCGAGUGUAGAGGUGAAAUUCGUAGAUAUUCGCAAGAACACCAGUGGCGAAGGCGGCUCACUGGCCCGGUACUGACGCUGAGGUGCGAAAGCGUGGGGAGCAAACAGG
rnacentral:rRNA from 1 species